rnacentral:lncRNA from 1 species
GUAAACUGUCGGUUUACCCCCUGAACUUUCACCUCAUUUUCGAUUUCUCCCCUGAACUUUUCUAUUGGAAAAUUAAGGACUCAAACUAAUUUUUUUAGCCAAUUUGCCCCCACCGUUAGUUUUUCAUAUAUUCCAUCCAUAUUUCCAUUAAGUGAGACCAUGUGCAUAACAUGUGAGGAUAGUUAAGUCAUUUCAAUUUAAAAAUGAUUAAAAACUGAAAAUAAAUAAUAAUAAUAAUUUUCCCUCUAUUUUUUCCCGCUAAUUCAUAUCCUCAAUUUUAAUUUUCCCUCUCAUUCCUAUGCAUGAGAAAUAACAUAUGGUGUUAUUGUCUUCAUAAGUAGCUAAGUUAAUCUUUUUUUUGAAGCAUGUACUACCAUUUUUAUUUUCUCUAACAAAUUAAUAAUUUGACAAAUGCUCAUGGUGUUAUUGUCUCCAAAGCAGUGCAUUAAUAUAAGAAACAUGUCCAUAAAAAAGACUAG